rnacentral:rRNA from 1 species
GACGAACGCUGGCGGCGUGCUUAACACAUGCAAGUCGAACGGAAAGGCCCUGCUUUUGUGGGGUGCUCGAGUGGCGAACGGGUGAGUAACACGUGAGUAACCUGCCCUUGACUUUGGGAUAACUUCAGGAAACUGGGGCUAAUACCGGAUAGGAGCUCCUGCUGCAUGGUGGGGGUUGGAAAGUUUCGGCGGUUGGGGAUGGACUCGCGGCUUAUCAGCUUGUUGGUGGGGUAGUGGCUUACCAAGGCUUUGACGGGUAGCCGGCCUGAGAGGGUGACCGGCCACAUUGGGACUGCGAUACGGCCCAGACUCCUACGGGAGGCAGCAGUGGGGAAUACUGCACAAUGGGCGGAAGCCUGAUGCAGCAACGCCGCGUGCGGGAUGACGGCCUUCGGGUUGUAAACCGCUUUCGCCUGUGACGAAGCGUGAGUGACGGUAAUGGGUAAAGAAGCACCGGCUAACUACGUG